rnacentral:rRNA from 1 species
UGGAUCCAGACUUUGAUUAUGGCUCAGGAUAAACGCUGGCUACAGGCUUAACACAUGCAAGUCGAGGGGAAACGAUAUUGGAAGCUUGCUUCCGAUAGGCGUCGACCGGCGCACGGGUGAGUAACGCGUAUCCAACCUGCCCACCACUUGGGGGUAACCUUGCGAAAGUAAGACUAAUACCCAAUGACGUCUCUAGAAGACAUCUGAAAGAGAUUAAAGAUUUAUCGGUGAUGGAUGGGGAUGCGUCUGAUUAGCUUGUUGGCGGGGUAACGGCCCACCAAGGCUACGAUCAGUAGGGGUUCUGAGAGGAAGGUCCCCCACAUUGGAACUGAGACACGGUCCAAACUCCUACGGGAGGCAGCAGUGAGGAAUAUUGGUCAAUGGACGAGAGUCUGAACCAGCCAAGUAGCGUGCAGGAUGACGGCCCUAUGGGUUGUAAACUGCUUUUAUAAGGGAAUAAAGUGAGUCUCGUGAGACUUUUUGCAUGUACCUUAUGAAUAAGGACCGGCUAAUUCCGUGCCAGCAGCCGCGGUAAUACGGAAGGUCCGGGCGUUAUCCGGAUUUAUUGGGUUUAAAGGGAGCGUAGGCCGGAGAUUAAGCGUGUUGUGAAAUGUAGAUGCUCAACAUCUGCACUGCAGCGCGAACUGGUUUCCUUGAGUACGCACAAAGUGGGCGGAAUUCGUGGUGUAGCGGUGAAAUGCUUAGAUAUCACGAAGAACUCCGAUUGCGAAGGCAGCUCACUGGAGCGCAACUGACGCUGAAGCUCGAAAGUGCGGGUAUCGAACAGGAUUAGAUACCCUGGUAGUCCGCACGGUAAACGAUGGAUGCCCGCUGUUGGUCUGAAUAGGUCAGCGGCCAAGCGAAAGCAUUAAGCAUCCCACCUGGGGAGUACGCCGGCAACGGUGCAACUCAAAGGAAUUGACGGA